AGAAGCUUGCUUCUNUNAUNCUUNGCGGCGGACGGGUGAGUAACACGUAGGCAACCUGCCCUCAAGCUUGGGACAACUACCGGAAACGGUAGCUAAUACCGAAUACAUGAUUUGUUCGCCUGAACGAAUYUGGAAAGACGGAGCAAUCUGUCACUUGAGGAUGGGCCUGCGGCGCAUUAGCUAGUUGGUGAGGUAACGGCUCACCAAGGCGACGAUGCGUAGCCGACCUGAGAGGGUGAUCGGCCACACUGGGACUGAGACACGGCCCAGACUCCUACGGGAGGCAGCAGUAGGGAAUCUUCCGCAAUGGACGCAAGUCUGACGGAGCAACGCCGCGUGAGUGAUGAAGGUUUUCGGAUCGUAAAGCUCUGUUGCCAGGGAAGAACGUCUGAGUUAGUAACUGAACUCAGAGUGACGGUACCUGAGAAGAAAGCCCCGGCUAACUACGUGCCAGCAGCCGCGGUAAUACGUAGGGGGCAAGCGUUGUCCGGAAUUAUUGGGCGUAAAGCGCGCGCAGGCGGCUUUUUAAGUCCGGUGUCACAGCCCAAGGCUCAACCUUGGGUCGCACUGGAAACUGGAGAGCUUGAGUACAGAAGAGGAAAGUGGAAUUCCACGUGU
rnacentral:rRNA from 1 species